UACGUAGGGUGCAAGCGUUAAUCGGAAUUACUGGGCGUAAAGCGUGCGCAGGCGGUUUUGUAAGUCUGUCGUGAAAGCCCCGGGCUCAACCUUGGAAUUGCGAUGGAGACUGCAAGGCUUGAAUUUGGCAGAGGGGGGUAGAAUUCCACGUGUAGCAGUGAAAUGCGUAGAGAUGUGGAGGAACACCGAUGGCGAAGGCAG
rnacentral:rRNA from 1 species